UGGUAGUCAGGAUCGAUGUAG
rnacentral:siRNA from 1 species